CUCCUACAAGUGGUGGGGAUGUUCUGGCCAUCAAGGAGCACCUCAUUGAUGAGCUGGACUACAUCCUGAUCCCAACAGAAGGCUGGAAUAAGCUAGUGAGCUGGUAUGCACUAAUGGAGGGACAUGAGGCCAUCUCACGCAAGGUGGUAGAACAGGGUAUGUUUGUGAAGCACUGCAAGGUGGAGGUGUACCUCACAGAACUGAAGCUGUGUGAAGACGGCAACAUAGACAACGUGGUCACCAGACGCUUCAGCAAAGCAGACACGAUAGACACCAUUGAGAAGGAGAUGCGAAAACUGUUCAGUAUCCCAGACCAGAAAGAGACCAGGUUGUGGAACAAGUACAUGAGCAACACGUUCGAGCCACUGAACAAACCGGACAGCACUAUACAGGACGCAGGACUCUACCAAGGACAGGUCGCAGUGGUGGACAGGAAGGGUCAGGAGACACUGUGGCCCCAUCCGAUGUCAGCCCCCAGUGUGAAAAACUCUAGCUACAGCCUUCCGCCCUACCACCCGUAUAACAGCUAUGAGUGCUCCGAAGGCAGGCAGAGUGAGUGGGCUGGCCUGUGUGGUCUCUCCAACCUGGGAAACACCUGCUUCAUGAACUCUGCUCUGCAGUGUUUAAGUAAUGUUACUCCUCUCACCGAGUAUUUCCUGAAAGACAAGUACAACGAUGAGUUGAAAGAGGACAACCCUCUGGGAAUGAAAGGGGAGAUCGCCAAGGCCUACGCUGAGAUCACCAAGCAGUCGUGGUCUGGGAAGUACAGCUAUGUCACACCACGGCCUUUCAAGACCCAGGUGGGUUGUUUUGCUCCCCAGUUCUCAGGCUACCAGCAGCAGGACUCUCACGAGCUGCUGGCCUUCCUGUUGGACGGUCUACAGGAGGACCUGAACCAUAUCAGGAAGAAACCCUACAUCCUGCUCAAAGAUGCCGAGGGCAGGCCUGACAAGGAGGCAUGGGAGAACCACAUUAAGAGGAACGACUCCAUUGUGGACAUCUUCCACGGCCUCUUCAAGUCCACCCUGAUGUGCCCCGUCUGCGCCAAGGUCUCCGUCACCUUUGAUCCCUUCUGCUACCUGACCCUGCUGCUGCCCAUGAAAAAGGAGCGCAACACUGGUAGUCUACCUGGUCAGGCUGGACCCCCUGGCCAAACCCACACAGACACUGUCAAUGGCAAUGCUACUAAUGGGAUCCUGGAGGUGGGCUCGCCCGGCGAGAUGGAGACUGACGAGCAGGAUGGAGACGACGAAUCCAGUCAGGACCAGGAGCUGCCCUCUGAGAACGACAACAGCCAAUCGGAGGACUCUGUGGGUGGCGGGGACAAUGAGCUGGAGAACGGGGUUGGUCAAGGGGGAGAUAAUUCGGGGACCAAAGGUCACCAGAACCAGAUGUCUACGACGAUGGAGGACAAUAAGAGAUUGUUUACAUUCCAGUUUAACAACAUGGGGAAGGCGGACUUCAGCUUAAUCAAGGAGGAACCGCGGCAGAUCCGGUUCAACGAGGGACACCUCAGACUCAGUGACCGGUCCUAUCUCUCUUUGGACUGGGAACCAGAGGUUAAGAAGAAACACUUUCAUGAGGGUAUCACAGAUGACUUUGAGAUGCAUGAGAGCAUGGAGUAUAAGCCUCAGAAGAAAGCCUUCUUCAAGCUGAAAGACUGCAUCGAGCUGUUCACCACCAGAAGAGAAGCUCGGAGCUGAGGACCCAUGGUACUGUCCAAAAUGCAAGGAGCACCAGCAGGCCACUAAGAAGCUGGACCUGUGGUCUCUGCCACCUGUCCUGGUGGUCCAUCUGAAACGCUUCUCCUACAGCAGAUACAUGAGGGACAAGCUGGAUUCACUAGUUGAUUUCCUACUCGGUGACAUGGAAAUGUCAGAGUUCCUGAUCGACCCUAAUGCUGGUCCCUGUCGCUACGAUCUCAUUGCGGUCUCCAACCACUAUGGAGGCAUGGGAGGAGGACACUAAGUCUAAUUUUAAGUAUUUUUAUUUGACAAUUUAGUCAUCAACACUAGAAGUGCAGAAAACUUUAUUUUAAUGUAAUGUGUAUUCAAAAUUAUAAAUUCAGACAUUGCUAGCCACAGUCUUAUCCGAGUUGAUUCAAACAAGGAAGGUGAACCAACAGUCUUAAUUCCAUGCUUGCUUUUAGCAGACAAAUGCUCAUCUUCUCGUCUUUGGGACACCUUAGAUGCUGCUUAUGCGAAGAACAAGGAUGAUGACAAGUGGUAACAACUUUGACAACAGCAGUGUCUCUCCAGCCAACAAAGAUCAGAUAGUGUCCAAAGCAGCGUACGUGCUGUUCUACCAGCACCAGGACACAGUGAAUGGAACAGGCUACUUCGAUCUGGACCGAGAGGAGAAGAACAGAGAAGGGGAGGAGGAGAGGAAGAACGUCGCUUCAGUCCAGAGCAACGAAGAUGUAAACGACAAUGUCACCAUGAAAACUAACUGAACUGGAGAAACAGAGACAGAGCGAGAGACAACAAUAUCCAUCCUAAGCCAUAUCGACAGACACAGAGCAGUGGGCCAGGCCUGAGGCUGUGCACUGACCUCUGACCCCAUCCAGCCCUAUGAAGAGUAGGCUACAGGGGAAAAUAAACAGAGGUUUGUCAGUGCUGGAACACCCAAGCAACAUUACUAAAGAAAUCAGGGCCUAUAGAUGUCUGUGGCCUGACCGGUCUUAUUCGUGUCGCAGUGAGUCUUCUCCAUGUCCAUUCUACAUGAAUCAUCCACUCUGGAGGAAAAAUAAGUCAAGCUCUGUUUUGAUUCUGAACAAUGACAUAAUCCUGAAAUCUAAUGGAUCCAUUAGAAGUGUUAGGAAGGCCUGCAUUAUGAAGUUCAGUUCGUCAUAGAAUCAAGCACAGAAUGUCACAGUGCAGUGGUGUGGGUGCUUUGGCACUUCGAACCGAUACACCUGCUUUAAUUUUGUUAAGUUUUUAUAUUUUUGAGAGCGCAAUGCAUUACCAUACCAUUUUACCAGUCUUUUUAAGCUAGGCCUUGUAAAUAUAUAUUUUUUAAUGAACACUGAAUUAUUAUUUUUAUUACGUUUUAAUGAUGCGCUGAAGCCUUUUUGGGAAUUCGUCCUAAUACUUUUAUUUUGUUGCACAAUCACCUCUACCCUCAUUUUUUAAAAUAAUGAGUCAUAUUAGUGGCACGUACUGCAAUUGCUUUACAAAUUACUCUGAGCCAGGGUCUUCUCAGUUAAAAUGCUUUGAAUGCUGCCUUUUUAAACACUGGUCAACAGAACACACAUCCACACAUAGUGACUGCUCUGUGUAGAGUAGGAGUGCUGAUCUAUGAUCAUUUUUGCCUUUAGGUUCAUACUGAAUAAGGUUGUAUGGACAGGGAAGGUACCUGAUCCUAGAUCAGUCCUCCUACUCUGCUUUGUGUAUGUGAGGAGGAAGAGCAAAAUACAUUUCAUAAUGUAAAACAGCCAAACCGGUCAUGUGGUGAACUUGCAUUUUAGACACAACUAAUGUACACAAUAUGAGCCUUAUGAUUUAAGUUUUUUAUUCUGCUGGUCCUUACAGUAAGUAUCCUCCUAGCAGCAUGAAGUCAAGUUCCAGAAACAACCCCUAGACACUUUUGUAGAUCUGAAAUGAUCAGAUAGGUAUGCAAAAUGGGGCGAAAAAUUCACCUAUCACAUGACAAGGUGGAGCUACUACCAUAUUGCUCACACCCAAUUCUUUCAGAUCUGCAUAAUUAGGAGACUGAUUAGGAGACGUGUUUGCAUAUUAGGUAGGGGCUUUUCUGGGACGGACCCACCACUCUUAGGCUGUAUGUUGCAUUACUAUCUUUACAUGGCUUCUUGAGCGUCUCCUCGCUACCGGCUCCCUCUAGAGGCUUUUUGAGAUUAUGAAUAUUGGAAUAUUGGUGAUACAUUAGAUUUCUGUUUCUUGGUUGGAUCACCUCAGCCUUAACUCUUAAUCUCAGAUUGUAGUCUUUAGCACAUUAUUACGUCACGCUGUUUGUGCAUGGCCCCGAAACACACACACACACACACACACACACACUUAAACAGGACACAGAUACGAGCUGAAACUCAUUCAUACACUCACAGGAACACUUACGUUCACACCCUCAACCCUACCUUUGCUGUUCCCAACAGAAACAUAAAUGAAUAGCAACCGCUGCUCCCGGAAUUCAACCUUGUUUUUUUUGUCAAAUGCGAGAGCCCGAAUGUAUGCUGAAUGACUGACUUGAACUGAUCCACUUGUAAGGCCAGGUUGUUUUUUUGCCUCAUCUUUUCUUGCUUUGGUUAAAUGUGAGGGGGAAAAUAGUAGUGUUCAUUACCUUUGAUAGAAAUACCUGGGUACUGCUUGCUGUAUGUGUCCACUCUUCCAAGGGAAAAUAAUGCUUCAUUGUGGUUUGAGCAUGGAGUAGGGUCUUUCGCUGUAGAGGGCGGGAGGGAUGGGUGAAGGGUAGUAUUACUGAUCAGCCUGAGUGGGUGAGAUAUGGUGAUUACAUAUAGGAUAUAUAAUACUGUACAUAAGAGUUCACUCUGAGUGCACAUUUGAUAAUAUUUAUUUAUAUGUAAGCAUUAAUAAAACAAAUAUAUAUAUAUAUAUAUUUA